GACGAACGCUGGCGGCGUUCUUAACACAUGCAAGUCGAACGAAGUGGCUAACGGGUGAGUAACGCGUAAUCAACCUGCCCUUUAGUGGGGGACAACAGUUGGAAACGAAUGCUAAUACCGCAUACUCAAGGAGGGGAUUUCGUUUGAGUAGCUAGUUGGCGGGGUAACGGCCCACCAAGGCGAUGAUCAGUAGCCGGUCUGAGAGGAUGAACGGCCACAUGGGGACUGAGACACGGCCCAGACUCCUACGGGAGGCAGCAGUGGGGAAUCUUCCGCAAUGGACGAAAGUCUGACGAAGCAACGCCGCGUGAGUGAUGACGGCCUUCGGGGUGUAAAGCUCUGUUAAUCGGGACGCGGUACCGGAAUAGAAAGCCACGGCUAACUACGUGCCAGCAGCCGCGGUAAUAC
rnacentral:rRNA from 1 species